UACAGAGGGGGCAAGCGUUGUUCGGAAUUACUGGGCGUAAAGGGCGCGUAGGUGGCCUUCUAAGUUGAACGUGAAAUCCCUGGGCUCAACCCAGGAACUGCGUCCAAGACUGGGAGGCUUGAAUCCGGGAGAGGGAUGCGGAAUUCCAGGUGUAGCGGUGAAAUGCGUAGAUAUCAGGAGGAACACCGAUGGCGAAGGCAGAUCUCUGGGCCGUAACUGACGCUGAGGAGCGAAAGCAUGGGGAGCGAACAGG
rnacentral:rRNA from 1 species